GUGGGAUUUAUGAUUAUAUGAUUUCUUAACGCCCAAACUAUUUCCAGUUAAAAUGCUACAGAUUUUCCCUUGGUAUUUUUGGGGUGGAUGGGUCUGGCGAAAAUGAUGUGAGUGAAUUUUUAAUCUCUGCCCGUUUCCCUUUCAGCCCCCCCCUUUUUUUUUUUUGGUUUCUGAAAAUCUCCUCUUUUCUUGGCGGAGGAAGAAAGGGCUGUGUGGACCAGGUACGCCACCUGCCGUGCAUGCUUGGGUUGGGGUGACCCACGGCGGAAGUGGGGACCGCUUUUUUUUNNNNNNNNNNGGCCCCACUCCAUAAUAGCGCUUUGUGAAAACUCAAACCAGAACACGCCGAAUUCCCGACGGUUCGCUUACAGACGUCAAGGUGUUCCGUCUAAACGACACUGGAGUUGAAGACGCCGGCCUCAGUUCCUCACGAGGCCGAAUUCUCACAGGAAAAAGGAUGGUUUAUAUUAUCCUUCAGUAGGACUUCGAUGACAUCCUGAAGGCAACAGGUAUGGGAGCGUCCGUUCACGUUACAGCCGGGAUGUGCGAGGAAGGGCCGGCGAGAAACAGGAGAACGGAUCUCUGCGUGUAGCGUUCGCUGCGGUGCGAGACGGGCGGCAUAACGCCCGCCACCUUAACCACUCCUAAGGGCACAGUCCUGUGACCCGUGAAAGACUGUGGCUUCACUGUGCAUCCAUUCCAAGCAUUCAUGUCCAGAGCGUUUUUGUCACCCGAAACCAAGAGUCUGUCCCCAUUAAAUGUUACAUUCUUUUUAUUUUUAAUCAUGAAGAACUAGGAAGGAAAAACUUCCAUGACAUCCCAGCCUCUGGUGGGGCUGAAAAUACGUGCAACGUAUACAUUGGGAAAGACCCNNNNNNNNNNNNNNNNNNNNNNNNNNNNNNNNNNNNNNNNNNNNNNNNNNNNNNNNNNNNNNNNNAUCACCGACUCGACCGACAUGAGUUUGGGUGAACUCCGGGAGCUGGUGAUGGACAGGGACGCCUGGCGUGCUGCAGUCCGUGGGGUCGCAAGGAGCUGGACACGACUCAGCGACUGAAGUGCAGGAACAGCAAUGUAUAGGCGUGAACGAUUCUCUUUUAGAAGAUUUAUUUGCUUAUUUAGUUUUGCUUACGCUGCGUCUUCGCUGCUGCUCACUGGCUUUCUCUCGUUUCGGCGAACAGGGCUCCUCUCCAGGUGUGUGUGGGUUUCUCAUCGCCACAGCUGCUCUUGUUGGGGUGCACAGGCUGUUACGCCUUGGCCUGUGGGGUCUUCCUGGACUGGGGAUCGACUGUGUCCCUUGCCUGGGCAGAUGGAUUCUUAUCUGCUGGACCCACAGCCGAGUCCAUGAAAGCUUCUUGGAGGAAUGCAGCCUUCAUGGAAACUCCAUUCUGGACCCAGAUGCAAGGAAGAGACUCGAGGCUUUCCCUUUCCUGGGCUGUAAAUUCUGCAAGGUAUUCAGGGCGGCAAAGCCUGACCCUGCCUGGGAAAGUGUUGCAGCCACGCGUUCCGGGAAAGAAGCUCACUCGGAAGGACAAUGCAGAUAGCGGACUCCACCGGCAAGCCCAAGGCUGAGUCUCCUCUUAGCCAAGGACCCCGACCACUUUUUGUGAAGACCUUAUAUACCCUAAGCGUACGUGCCCAAACCCACCUCCCCAAAUCGCCUGAAACUAGUCAGAAGAAAGGAAAAUGAAAGAUACAAUCCAAGUUCACCCACGAUUCAUAUGCUUUAAGCCUAGGUGGUUAACAGUGGACAAUUAUCAAUAGGCCUGUGGUCAU
ensembl:lncRNA